rnacentral:rRNA from 1 species
GGGGAAUUGUUCGCAAUGGGCGCAAGCCUGACGACGCAACGCCGCGUGGAGGAUGAAGAUCUUCGGGUCGUAAACUCCUGUCGAGCGGGACGAAUGCUUUGCGGCCGACUAAUCCGCAGAGGUGACGGUACCGCUAAAGGAAGCCCCGGCUAAAUCCGUGCCAGCAGCCGCGGUAAUACGGGGGGGGCAAGCGUUGUUCGGAAUUACUGGGCGUAAAGGGCUCGUAGGUGGCCAAUUAAGUCAGACGUGAAAUCCCCAGGCUCAACUUGGGAACUGCGUCUGAUACUGGUUGGCUUGAAUUCGGGAGAGGGAUGCAGAAUUCCAGGUGUAGCGGUGAAAUGCGCAGAUAUCAGGAGGAACACCGAUGGCGAAGGCAGGUCUCUGGGCAUUAACUGACGCUGAGGAGCGAAAGCAUGGGGAGCGAA